CACAGCGAGAUCUCGCUUACUGGGCUGUCUCGCUUAGGGAGUGGUCAUUAUUUAUGGGGGGGACUAGCUAACAGUCGUGGGUUGUGGGUCGUGGGUAGAAUGUCGUGGGUCGUGGGUAGAAUGUCGUGGGUCGUGGGUAAAAAGGCGUGGGUCGUGGGUAAAAAGUCGUAAGUCGUGGGUAAAAAGGCGUGGGUCGUGGGUAAAAAGGCGUGGGUCGUGGGUAAAACGGCGUGGGUCGUCGGUAAAAAGGCGUGGGUCGUGG